GAGCCAUAUAAGACAAUAGAUAUAUAAGGAAGGACGCAAAUACCACCACUUCCUAUAGAAGUAGACAAUAAUGAAGAAUUUGAGAUAGAAGAAGUCUUAGAUUCAAGGUAGCACUGAAAUAGAUAAGGAUAUCUGAUAUAUUAGCAUGGAUAUGAUAUUAAUGAACACAAAUGGGAGCCAUCCAAGAAUCUACCAAAUGCAUUAGCCAAAGUUAAAGUUUUUCAUCAACAUCUAUCAAAAUCAAGAUGAAGAGUUAAGAAAUUCUUUGCUAUAAAGCAAAACAUAUCCAAUGGAAAUUUUAUUUUAUCUUGUAUUAUUAUUUCUUUGG
rnacentral:lncRNA from 1 species